rnacentral:misc_RNA from 1 species
UAGAAUCUGCACAUUAAAGUGGCCU